rnacentral:rRNA from 1 species
GUCUAGACGGUUCGAUUUUGCGGGCGGAAAAACUAAAAGGGGGAAAAGAAAAGAAAAGAAAACCCUCAAAGCCCUAGUACCUUCGUAGACGCAGGCAGUCAGCAGCCGACCAGAAGGCAGCAGACGCAGAGCAAAUCCAAACAAGAACACCAGUAGUGCUGCAUUCGCAGCGAGCGAGGAAGAGGAAGAGGGUAAGAGAGAGGGAUGGCAUGCCUGCACGAUCACGAGUGUGGGGAUCACAACUGCGCCGCCGAUUGGUCGCUCUACAAUCACAUCGACAUCCCCAAGGUGGUGGCUCUGAACGAAUCUGUGGCCGGGAGCGUCAAAUCGGUCUUCAAGUCGUGGGACCAGCGCCUCGAGACUUCCGUGGGUUUUCUGGAGAGCAAUGAGGGUGACCCUGAGUUACUUGUUUUCAUCCCAUUUACCUCAGAUGUGAAGAUCAAGAGCAUCGCUGUUGUUGGUGGUGCUGAUGGAACAAGUCCUUCAAGAAUGAGAGCAUUUAUCAAUAGAGAAGGUAUUGACUUUUCUGAUGCUCAAAACAUGCAGCCUGUGCAGGAAUGGGAACUGGCAGAGAAUUUGCAGGGAGUUCUUGAGUAUCAAACCAGGUAUUCAAGGUUCCAAGGUGUGGCCAACUUAACUCUGCAUUUUCCUGAUAACUUUGGUGGUGAUACGACUAAGAUAUAUUACAUUGGUUUGCGUGGUGAAGCUACUCAGAACAAAAGGGAUGUUGUGGCCACAAUUGUGUAUGAAGUAAUGCCCAAUCCAUCUGAUCACAAAACAAAAUCCGAGACUGGAGGUGGUUUCUCACAUGUUGAGUAGGCAUGUCAGAUCCAUGUCUGGGUGCUGCUCUCGGUUGGAGAGAAACUUGACCUCUGAUGAGUUCUGUAUGAAUAAAACCAGUCCAGCUCUUAGAUUCGUAGUUUUGAGAGUAAACCAGUGUAUUUGUCGGUUGUCGAUGGCUCGAUGAUGUAACUUAACUAUGUUGCCUUGUGGUUGCCGGUGGCUCGAUGAGGUAACUUAACUAUGUCGCCCAUGCUGUCAUCAGAGUUGCUAACAAGUACUAUGAUUCUACCGAUCUCCAAUUGGUGGUACUUUUCCUUUCUUUCAUUCAGUAUUGGGAUCAGGGCGUCUUCAAUGUUACAGAAACAUGGGGUCUUAAACCAAAGAAUAGCCUCCAACAUGGGUCUUAAGCCAAAAAAUAGCCCAAGACCCACCCUCAAGCAUUAUGAGAAGAGGUCUUAACAACAAAAUCGCAAGACAAGAUUAAGACCAAGCCACAGCAAAUAUUAAAGACGGUAAGACAAGGCCGUCAGGAAUAAAGAACUAUACAAUCUCUCACAUGAUUUGAGGGUUUAAAACUAGAAGAGAAAAAAACUGACAUGUGGGCUCUUUCAAGGCCGUUGUUUUGCGUCGUGGCUGAAUGAAAAGCAUCUGGAGCUGAUAGAAACUGAGAGAAGUUUGGUAGAAGCUGCGGGAAAAGCGGCCCGAGCUAGUACAAACUAAGAAAAGCUGGUGUGAGCUGCUUAGAAACUGAG